UACGGAGGGUGCAAGCGUUGCUCGGAAUUAUUGGGCGUAAAGGGCGCGUAGGCGGCAUGGCAAGUGGAUGGUGAAAUCCCUCGGCUUAACCGAGGAACUGCCGUCCAAACUGCUUCGCUUGAGACCGGGAGAGGUGAGUGGAAUUCCCAGUGUAGCGGUGAAAUUCGUAGAUAUCGGGAGGAACACCUGUGGCGAAGGCGGCCACCUGGACAACAACUGACGCAUGAGACGCGAAAAGCGUGGGUAGCAAACAGGA
rnacentral:rRNA from 1 species